rnacentral:lncRNA from 1 species
CCCAGGCCACCAAUAUUGCUUUCGCAAGUCUCGAUACAACUUACUCCCUCCUGGAUGCAUAGCACAAGGUCCAUUAUGUGCCUCAUUCAAAAUCAUCAAUCUCAAGUCUGAGUCUUUCGGCAUACAAAUUCUUCCUCGAAAACAAAGAACUCCCUCAGUAUUUAACCCAAAGUCUGGAUUUUUCCCCUUCUCAACUUGCUGAAACCGAGGAACCAACGACUCG